rnacentral:piRNA from 1 species
UGCUUUAGUCUUUGAAAACGUAAAAAUGCAA